UACGGAGGGGGCUAGCGUUGUUCGGAAUUACUGGGCGUAAAGCGCACGUAGGCGGCUUUGUAAGUUAGAGGUGAAAGCCCGGGGCUCAAUCCUGGAAUUGCCUUUAAGACUGCAUCGCUUGAACAUCGGAGAGGUAAGUGGAAUUCCGAGUGUAGAGGUGAAAUUCGUAGAUAUUCGGAAGAACACCAGUGGCGAAGGCGACUUACUGGACGAUUGUUGACGCUGAGGUGCGAAAGCGUGGGGAGCAAACAGG
rnacentral:rRNA from 1 species